rnacentral:rRNA from 1 species
GAACGCUGGCGGCGUGCUUAACACAUGCAAGUCGAGCGAGAACGGUUCCUUCGGGAACUUAGUAAAGCGGCGCACGGGUGAGUAACACGUGGGUAACCUGCCUUGUAGUGGGGGAUAACAGUCCGAAAGGACUGCUAAUACCGCAUGAGACCCUCGAGUCUUUGGGCUUGAGGGGGAAAGGGGCUUCGGCCUCGCUACAAGAUGGGCCCGCGCACCAUUAGCUAGUUGGUGGGGUAAUGGCCUACCAAGGCGACGAUGGUUAGCUGGUCUGAGAGGAUGAUCAGCCACACUGGAACUGAGACACGGUCCAGACUCCUACGGGAGGCAGCAGUGAGGAAUCUUGCGCAAUGGGCGAAAGCCUGACGCAGCAACGCCGCGUGUGUGAUGAAGGCCCUAGGGUUGUAAAGCACUGACCAGAGGAAAGAACAAACGGGAUUAAUCUCCCGUCCUGACGGUACCUCUGAAGAAAGCACCGG